UACGUAGGGUGCGAGCGUUAAUCGGAAUUACUGGGCGUAAAGGGUGCGCAGGCGACUCCGCAUGUCAGGCGUGAAAUCCCCGGGCUUAACCUGGGAAUGGCGCUUGAAACUACGGAGCUGGAGUGUGGCAGAGGGAGGUGGAAUUCCACGUGUAGCGGUGAAAUGCGUAGAGAUGUGGAGGAACACCGAUGGCGAAGGCAGCCUCCUGGGCCAACACUGACGCUCAUGCACGAAAGCGUGGGGAGCAAACAGGAUUAGAUACCCUGGUAGUCCACGCCCUAAACGAUGAUGACUAGUUGUUGGAGGAGUUAAAUCCUUUAGUAACGCAGCUAACGCGCGAAGUCGUCCGCCUGGGGAGUACGGUCGCAAGAUUAAAACUCAAAG
rnacentral:rRNA from 1 species